CAGCAGCCGCGGUAAUACGAAGGGUGCAAGCGUUACUCGGAAUUACUGGGCGUAAAGCGUGCGUAGGUGGUUGUUUAAGUCUGCUGUGAAAGCCCUGGGCUCAACCUGGGAAUUGCAGUGGAUACUGGGCGACUAGAGUAAGGUAGAGGAUAGUGGAAUUUCCGGUGUAGCAGUGAAAUGCGUAGAGAUCGGAAGGAACAUCUGUGGCGAAGGCGACUAUCUGGGCCAUUACUGACACUGAGGCACGAAAGCGUGGGGAGCAAACAGGAUUAGAUACCCCAGUAGUCCCUGUCUCUUAUAC
rnacentral:rRNA from 1 species